UCUGCCAGGAUUUGUCACCAGGUUGGAUGCACUGGGCUCAUUCUUUUCCACUCUCACAUCUGAAGAUCUCAGUGGGAUUGCCCAGACUGUCUGAGGUGGGAAUUUGCUCAGUGAGGACUCUGGGAGUGCCAGCUUGAGACAGGUGAAUCACGGACAAACACUGUGGAUAGGGGAUGUAUGGGAUAAUUUCCUUGUUCCCCUGACAUCUGGCUGCCAGAGAAGGGGAGAUCUGUGAACAAACAACUCCUGCCAUCAUCUGUCCAAAGCAAGAAUCUGCCAACAGGAAAAGGUCACGUGGAGAAAGCACACCUUUUAAUAGAGAAGGUGAUUGCAUUGCCAGAAGGUUGAGGGAAGUGACCCUGCCCCUCUACUCACAAUUUCUGGGGGUCUGGAUCUGGAGAGUCUUCAGUACAAGACAACUACACAGAAUUUGGGAUAAAACCUGGAUAUUUUAGACUUUUAUAAAUAAUACGCAUUGGGAGCUCCCUGGAAAAAUCCCAAUGUUGUCUGUUGGAUCAUUGUGAAGGAAAAGGAAUUUGGCAGAAGGACCAAGUCAGCUGUCAGCAGCUUGUCCCUCAGCUCUGCUGUUAAUUGUGGUGCCUCGCUGUAGUUUGUUUGCAAUAAUUCCAGCUGUACUGCCAGGGCAGCCUUUAAAUGGAAUUGCUGCUGUUGUCACAACUGUUAUUGUUCAAGAACUGCAUUUUUCAAUUAGGGGGAAUAUAUGAGAUACGUUAUCUGUAACGAUCUCUUUUAAUGAUAACAACAGAUACAAUAAUUAGUCCAGUGUAUGAAAUUAAAGAUAUUUAAAUAAUUAUAGUGUAAUCAAGUCAAAAUUACUGAUGUCUUUAUUUGAGGCUAGAUUAUGUGGAAAACACCACAGGAAAAUAAGUGCUUUGUAAUCUAAAAGGCACCAGUAUUUGAUAACACAUUUGCAUAUGUAGCAUCAAGUAAGUUUGGUUUAUGCCUUCCAAAGAUUUAAAAUAUAAAUAACAGUCAUUUGGCCAGGUUUCAGAGGCUUGGGUAUGACAGCAACUCCUUUGUGGUUCAGUUUGCUGGCACAUGUCUUCUUGUUAUGGUGGAUUUGCAGCAUAAAGGUGAAUUUAAUGGUGCUCAACAGGGUGGCUCAGAAACAUCUGCAUUCUAAAUGCCUGUUUAUUGGACAUUUUUUGAAAAUUGUCAUUUUUUUUCCAUUUCCUUCUCCCAUUUCUUAUCUGAUAUUGAACAUAUCUUUAAUCAAAGAUAAAUAAACAAAAAGACCGGGGAGCCCAGGCACAUCAGUUCAAGGGAAAAACAUUAGUUUUUGUAUUAUGAGGGGAAAAAACCCAACCAAGCAAACAAAACCAAACCAAAUCAAUCAUAAGCAAAAUUUUAAAAAAAACCACACAUGAACCCAAAAUUCACAGCUACCCACUCACUCCAUCUUCUUUUCAGACUGUGAAGAAAACAAGCUCUUGUGUAAUCCUUUACCUUUAACAGCAGGGGCUGACUCACCGAGCCAGAAGAGGGCACAGUUCAGAGCUCUGGCAGAAUUACAGCUGGUAGGUUCCAGGCACUGCCUGUGUCAAGGGAGAGCUGGAAAUAGCUGUUUGUUUAUGUGUGUGAAAAGCAUGGUAAGGAAGUAUUUUUAUCAUUUGCCUUUGCUUCAGGAGCUUAUAAAGGCUAUGCAAAUACUUUAUUUUCUCUUGGGAUGCAAUUCCCCAAAGAAAUGUGAAAUAUUGGUGGCAAAACCUCAGUUUUGGAGCUGGGCUCUGAAUUUUGGAGAAGGUGCUGAUACCUUUGGUUGGAAAGUUGAAGACCAAGCCUGUGCUGGUGGUGCACAUGAGGGGCUGCAUUUAAAGAUGCAUUUAAAAUUAACACUUCUUUCCAACUUGCCCAUACAAACAGCAACACUUGACCCUCCAGAAGGUAACAGGCAUCUCGUGAUUUAUUGUAGGCUAAAGUUCAUUAUUUCACCUGACAGAAAAACAUUGGGAAGUGCAAAGGGACCGAUUCAGAGGGAACUGACUCCAUUAACUGCAAUUUUUCAUCCCCUUUUCCACGUCAGCAGCGAAUUUACCUUUUCCCUGGGUUUGACAUCAAGUAUCUUUAGUCUCCUGAAGGUCACAAGUGUUUCUCCAGCCCCACGGGUGCAAUAACCAAGAAGAAGAAUAAUCCAUGCAGGAUUUUCUUUCGAUUACAUGGGUGACACUGGGAAAACAGGAGACUUCUUUACUUCCAAUGUGGUUGAUUUAAUGUGCAAUUUAUUUUAUAGUUAGUUAUUACUAAAAAAUAAUUGCAGAACAGAAUAAAUACUAGUUUUAUAGUAAAGAAAAUUAAAACAAACUGGCAAGCAAUUUCAGGAAUUGAGAUGAGGCUUUAAAACAGGAUGUUUAUGUGUUUGGACAAUUUAGUUUGUUUUGCAAGAUGUCUCUGAUGGACACCCUCCAUGCCACCUUUGGAAGAAAAAUGAGUAACUAGAUUUCUCACACAGAGACAUUCUGCAGCUUUUAUUAGAUGCAAGCAUACUUCCAGAAAGCUUUGAAUUGCUAAGAGGUAAAUUGAUUAAACUUAUCCAAUAUGUCCCUUUCAGCAGGUUAGAAAAUGAAUCCCCUGGUUUUAGUGUAUCACACAGAAUUAUUUGAGACCUGACCUUUUAAUGAGUUUUAUCAAUAAAGUUGAGUAAUUUCUACUCAGAAUUUAUUUAUUUCUUCACUGUUUUGCUUAAUUUGAUUUGUGAAUCUAUUAUUUUUUUUCCUGUUGCUUUAAACUCAUGGUUUUUACAUUUAGUUUUUCAAAUGCUUCAGUAGUAACUUCUGUUAUCUUUGACAUUUCUGUGUUACCAUAAUAUGAACUGCUGCAGUGGGAAACUUAAUCCUCUAAUCUGUCUAGCUCAGAUGCAUUGUUCCUACAGAGACAUUUUCUAAUUCAGUGUAUUUAUUAACAGCUCUGAGCACUCUGCUCCUGCUGGCAUCUGCAAUAGGAGCAGUUUUAUU